GAUGAACGCUGGCGGCGUGCCUAAUACAUGCAAGUCGAGCGAACAGACGAGGAGCUUGCUCCUCUGACGUUAGCGGCGGACGGGUGAGUAACACGUGGAUAACCUACCUAUAAGACUGGGAUAACUUCGGGAAACCGGAGCUAAUACCGGAUAAUAUAUUGGACCGCAUGGUUCAAUAGUGAAAGACGGUUUUGCUGUCACUUAUAGAUGGAUCCGCGCCGCAUUAGCUAGUUGGUAAGGUAACGGCCUACCAAGGCAACGAUGCGUAGCCGACCUGAGAGGGUGAUCGGCCACACUGGAACUGAGACACGGUCCAGACUCCUACGGGAGGCAGCAGUAGGGAAUAUUCCGCAAUGGGCGAAAGCCUGACGGAGCAACGCCGCGUGAGUGAUGAAGGUCUUCGGAUCGUAAAACUCUGUUAUUAGGGAAGAACAAAUGUGGAAGUAACCAUGCACGUCUUGACGGUACCUAAUGAGAAAGCCACGGCUAACUACGUG
rnacentral:rRNA from 1 species